rnacentral:misc_RNA from 1 species
CGGUUCCAUAGAUUAUAAAAAAAUUGGGCAGGGUUCGGAGCGAAUUUUUAUGAUUAUUAUUUCUCUUGUAAUUUGAAUUAGUGCAGCCGCGGCCCAAUAAGUUUUAAUUUUGGGUGGCUGAGUUGCUCUUUUCUUAUGGACAAGAUGCAUCGGAAAGUAUUCUUCUGUCAAAAUCGAUUAACAAGGCUUUUUUGUUUAGCGGGAAAGAAAUGAUAAAACCAUUACUUGAAUCAUUCUUCUCAACUCAAUUUUAGAACAUCACUUGAAGGUUUUCAUGCGUACGCGAUUGCUUAA